rnacentral:rRNA from 1 species
GACGAACGCUGGCGGCGUGCUUAACACAUGCAAGUCGAACGGAAAGGCCCUGCUUUUGUGGGGUGCUCGAGUGGCGAACGGGUGAGUAACACGUGAGUAACCUGCCCUUGACUUUGGGAUAACUUCAGGAAACUGGGGCUAAUACCGGAUAGGAGCUCCUGCUGCAUGGUGGGGGUUGGAAAGUUUCGGCGGUUGGGGAUGGACUCGCGGCUUAUCAGCUUGUUGGUGGGGUAGUGGCUUACCAAGGCUUUGACGGGUAGCCGGCCUGAGAGGGUGACCGGCGCGAUGGGGAGGGAGUGGGGGACGAGACUCACAGGGGAGGCAGCGUUGGGGAAGAUGGCCGAAGGGGGGGAGGCCUGCUGCAGCAACGCGGCGGGCGGGAUGGGGGACGGCGGGUUGGAAACCGCUGUCGCCUGGGACGAAGCGUGUGUGAGGGGAAUGGGUGAAGAGGCACGGGCUAAGUACGGG